GGGAUCAUAGUAACGGCAAGAACAUGCAAUGUAAAAGUACAUCUGUUCCGUGAGUGACAGUGGGUGGCAUGAGAUAAACUCAUUUUUCAGGGGAUGACGGAAGAAUGGGGCUUGUGAAACAGGGGAGACUUACCCUUGAACUACAAGGGUACUCUAUCUGCUCCAAGGACGAGGCCAAGCCUCCAUCCAGAAGGUUCUGCCUGGCAAGUAAGCCAGGGGCUGCACCUGCGCUGCGGCAAGCUGGGCUGCGAGCAGACAGCCGGAGAGUCCCCAUGCAUGUCCACGAGGCACAAGCAGGACACUGGGCCGUUUGAAGCUGAACUGCAAUGCAUUCUUAUAGCAACUCUUCGUCAGGACCCGCCAAAUCAGAGGCAGAGGCGGAUGCUGCUCCUAAGGCCCUGAGUUCCUAAUCCGAGGCCUCUGUUGACCAUCAGUGACACCAUGGGGGCUCUGCUUGGAAUCAGCAGUGCCGCCUGAACUGUGAGU